GGAGUUAGCCGGUGCUUCUUCUGUGAGUGAUGUCCUUCCUGCCGGCUAUUAACCCGCAGGCCUUCUUCCUCACUGAAAGUGCUUUACAACCCGAAGGCCUUCUUCACACACGCGGCAUGGCUGGAUCAGGGUUGCCCCCAUUGUCCAAUAUUCCCCACUGCUGCCUCCCGUAGGAGUCUGGGCCGUGUCUCAGUCCCAGUGUGGCUGAUCAUCCUCUCAAACCAGCUACGGAUCGUCGCCUUGGUGAGCCGUUACCUCACCAACCAGCUAAUCCGACAUAGGCUCAUCCGAUAGCGCGAGGCCCGAAGGUCCCCCGCUUUCCCCCGUAGGGCGUAUGCGGUAUUAGCCUGGGUUUCCCCAGGUUAUCCCCCACUACCGGGCAGAUUCCUAUGCAUUACUCACCCGUCCGCCGCUCGCCACCAGGGAGCAAGCUCCCCGUGCUGCCGCUCGACUUGCAUGUGUUAGGCCUGCCGCCAGCGUUCAAUCUGAGCAUAAUACAACUACUGA
rnacentral:rRNA from 1 species